UAUCAUCAACCCUCGCCGUUUUGUGCGGUUGCGGGUUGGAGCUGGGGGCUUGCCGCCGAAACGCGGCUCCCCUCAAAUGCCUCGGUUGGGCCUGUGGGUCGGACUCGAUUGGGCGUUGUACCAUCCUCGCUCUAAUGAGAUGUUCCCCUUCUGUGCCCUUCCACGACCUGCCGUUCGAGUGGCGGUCAAGCUAACUUUGAAAUUUGGCCUCAAAUCAGGUAGGACUACCCGCUGAACUUAAGCAUAUCAAUAAGCGGAGGAAAAGAAACUAACAAGGAUUCCCCUAGUAACUGCGAGUGAAGCGGGAAAAGCUCAAAUUUGAAAUCUGGCGGCUCUGCCGUCCGAGUUG
rnacentral:rRNA from 1 species